rfam:Dipodomys ordii contig_51767, whole genome shotgun sequence.
GGUGGCUCAGUGGUAGAGUGCUUGCCUUGCAUGCAUGAGGCCCUGGGUUCAAAUCCUCAGUACCA